GAUGGCUUCCUGUGCAAUGAUAUUGCAUAUUGAGCUCUAGCCUCGAUCCCAGGCCGCUCUUCCUCGAAGAGAGGCUAAUAAUUAGGCCUUGUGAAGGAGGCUAAUUGAGCUCAUGAAGCUCCUGAAAGCUCUGUUUCUCUUGGCUCUUGUCCAGUCAUCCCAUGCUUGAUACCUAUAGCCACUCAUAGUCUGACAAGUUUUCUGAAGAACGCGGAUGACAUCUGUUUCGGGAGGAAUGGGAAGAGAUCGGCUACUACCUUCUACUCUGAGUCCCAGAACCCCUGAAAUUCUCCUUGCAAGAUUUGCUGCGAAACAAGCACUUCGGAUGGGUUAGAGACUGGUGCACCUGUAGUCUCAUGAAUCAGCCGCACCUUUGGUGUCUGUCUGAGUACUCUUUACAUGAACUCAUGGGCCACGUCGGAUUUCCAAGGUGACCAAUGAGAUUGCUCACAAGCAUCAGGUGACUUGAAUAGGAGGCAGCAAAUAGUGAAACUUUACAUGAGAUUGAGCAGCAAGCAGUGAUGUGGCUGAGCAGAGAUAGCGGAUGUGGUUGCAUUUUUAUGGUUUUGUUAGCUUGUACAGUGACGUAAUACAUUCCAUUGUGAAAUGACUUCACGUAAAGAGUGCUCAGACUGACACCAAAGGUGCGGCUGAUUCAUGAGACUAGUGCACCUGGUGUCAUGAGUUUUUUAGGAAUCAAGCUGAAGCUGUACAAUAAUUAUAAUUAUAAUUAUUACAUGUACUGACAAUACCUUCUCAGUCAUGCCUUCACACUUAGUCUGGGGGCCAGACCUUUUCUCGGAGGGGGGAGUCCUCUUGGAAUGUCAACUAGGGAGGAGACUGUUAUAUUGGAGGUUAUGAAGAAGGAGUAGAUGUAGCAAUGUCAUUGGCUGUAUCCAAAUUCCAUUGGCUGUAAUCCAAAUUUCACAUAGGCAAUACAUUGGGUAAAAAUCACAUGGCAUAGGAUAUGAAUUUCAUUGGCUCUGGCCACAUUCCGCUAGAGCACACGGAAAUGCUGCAAGAGUCUCCAGACCUUAAUCCUAGCUCUCUAGAUUUUGCCCCCGAACUAUUAGGUCUGGCCCCCAGACUACCUUCACACUGUACUGUGUAGAUCUACAAGCUUAGUACUUAAAUGUUAAGGCCUUUCCGCACUAGAGUCAGUUACAAUUCGCAUUGAAUGCUCAAACCAGUUACAAUGCGCAUUGAUAGUGUCCGCACUUGUAUCGUGCCACCAUACACAUGUAUUUAAACUCACUCUAGCUAUAGACUGGCUGCGACUCGUACGUUGUAUAGGUGAAUAGACUGUUUACAUUAGACUGUUUAUAUUAGUAUUGUUUUGCAGUUAUGGUAAAUCAACAAUUAAUGUCAUAACAAUUAAUGUACAAAUAAAACUGAUAAAUGCAUGGAUGUUAUGUGCAUGUGCUGAUAACACAUUAAUCAUGCACCCCUGACGCUCAAUGUAUAGUCAAUACCAAUGACGAACUUAUUCCUUGUGGACAAUCUAUAUGGAUCUACUUGUGUUUUAUUAAGUACAACACAGUAUGUAUAUAUACUGCAUGCACCAGUACUAUAAAGCUUCAGGAAAUAUAUACACAAUACUUGGAGCUAAUUCCCACCUCGGUACGUCCGUUUAAAUGGUUCAGCAGGCAAUUACAUCAUUGGAAUAUUCCUGCACAUGUAUUUAGCUUCACUCGUGGUCGUGACCACGCCCACCUACUCUAGCAAAAUGGCAAAAAUAAUAGUAACGUUGAUUGGCUAAGAAAUGGUGCUAAAACAUGAGGUGGUGGGAAGGGGGAUUAAUAAAACAAAUCGGUUAGAGUACUAAGGCCUCAGAUAAUAUCCUUUAUCGGUUAGAGUACUCCUCAGGUGUCCUUAUGUUCACAGGGUAUAUAAUUAUGUAUAUGGUUAGAGUUGAAAAUGUUGUAGUUAAUGGGCUACAAUUUGAUACCAAAAACAUCCUCUAUGCUUAUUCCAUUGCUGAGAUAAUAACACUACUAUUUUGAUGACAUCAGCAGCUGCUAACCAACCAAUGACGCUUUAAUUAACCACGAGAAGCUGCGCAGUAUUGUAUAAUUAUUAUUCGAUUUGGCUUUCGCUACCUUCUAUUUAUGGAUGAACAACAGCAAGAAAAGUAAGGCCUGGACGAGGCUAGUCAAUUAUCUAGUGUGCAAUUUUAAUAAAAACGUUUUAACUCAUUGUUUGCCUUUAAAUGUUCUUAGCAUGUAUGCCUUGGCUGACUUCAAAUCUUGACAUAGGAUCUAUCUUGAAUGUUAGUUGGUUGUAUCAAAUAUUUGGCGGUUGCGGGUCGGUUAUAGGGCAUGUCAGUUAGAUGUCCAUAUUCAUAGUGCUGUAUAAAUGUACAGUGUGAGUACAAGUGCAGGCCGGUGCAAGAUGUGUGAGAGUGUGGGGUGGUGUGUGACAUGGUUGUUGUCUUUCAUGUUGGAGUGUUCUGGAGUUAACCUCAGGUUGGGCAAAAGCACUGUACACCCGAGUUGGACCAGGUGCGUAGUUGACCAAAACUGCUAGGUGGGACUCGGCUACGUACAAGCUAAUUCCAGGCACACAACAGCCACUUGCAUUAUCAGCUUUGCAAAUCAAACCCGCCCACAAAAGCACAUACAACAAGAAGAGAGACUGUACGUUCGGAACCUCACAACAUCAGCAAGUACGUCGUACACCGAAAUCAAAGACUCAGGAUAAAUGUAAUCCAGUAAAUUGUCUCCACCAGUCUAUGGUUGGUGUUUGGAGAAAUUGUUGUCUCUUUCAUCCAUUGUGCUCAAGAAGUUUUCGGUGGAUGGAGAUUUUGGUCAACUGCCACCAUCAUUCUACCUCUAUAUAUCACAGUACACCAGAGCUUUCAUAUACACAAGUUCUCAGGUUGAGGCCGACAACGGGCGGGAGGAAAGUAUAUACUGUACAAGUAUAGUCAACGUGUGUAUGUGCUCUUGUGCUGACAUACUGCAGCACAAGGACGAUGAAACGUUUUCGCUGGUAGUCUGAUUUGAAUCUGUAAGUUGCUACUGCGUUCUUGAAUGGAGAACUGCAAGUAGCCUGAAAGUCCGGAAUUCUGCCUAAAUUUCUCACCUGAAUGACAAUAGAACUGUCGCUAAGUAAUAAGCAUUGAUAAGGUGCCGGAUACUCAACGAGAACACUGCUUCUUUCUUCUUGCAAGUUUGUCGCUGGUUUAUAUUUCUCGCACAUGAGUCAAUCGUUCGUUCGGGUGCUCACUAGCCACCAGGGUGCAACUACAGUAAACCGUCGCCGUGCACGCAGGCACAGAAACGUUUCUUAUACAACCCCAAUUUGAUGGCAACCGUGAAACUCCAACGUUCCCAUAUUCAGUGAUAUGAGAAGGAGCACUGCCCUUUGUAUGAUGCUCGCCACUGUAAAACUGCCUCGAAGAGCAACAACCAUUGAUGAAGUGUCCUUCACAUUGAAAAGCUUGAGAGCCAGAUUCUUAUUUACGGUUGGCGACUAUCGCUGGCAUAACUCCUAUGGCAACAUUGAAUAUUUCUUUAGGCAUAAAUCUGUCUGGUUCCCCGUGUCAUCCAUGGAAUCGUCUGUCUGGAAUGGGUGGAAAGUGCUACGUUGCAAGGCCAGCAGAGCUGACAACCUGGCACACCAGGAGACUAAUCUCGAUCACAUCACAGUGUUUUCAGGUGACGAUAUCCUUCACAAGUUUUUCCUAAAGCAACUUUUCGUCGUCUACGUAGAAUGAGGUUUGUACUGCAUGCUUAGGGCCAUUGUUAAGGGGUGAUGGUCACUUCUCCAGGAAACGAUAUCUUCAACGGCCAACUCUACAGCUCAAUACACAUCAGCUGAGGGUGCCAUUGAGAGCUACCCGUAUCUUUGUAAGCUUAAUGGUCCAUCUGCUCGGAGAACUGCGAGAGGAAUCGUCUUGCAGCUUUUUGUCUCUUGAAAUGACUAACUUACUCGCUUACCUACAAUUUCUAUUUGACAAAGCUGGCUAGCUGCCCCUCUGUUCUGCCACAGACACUCCUUAGUAUAAUCUCUAGUAGCCAACUUUGAUUUACGACUACCAUUGAGGGGCACAGGCUCGUCCAAAUCUACAUUUUGACAGUAUUAAGCAACCUCAAAGAAAUCCGACGGCUGCACGAUUUCAGGAUCAACGAUCGAAGUGGGCGGGUUCUGAACAGAGUCUGAGAGCAGGGUCCAGAACUGUACAGCCUUGUUUGUACUUUCUUGUUGGUUGAGCUUGUUGUGCAAGUUGGCCCCGGAAAAAUUGACCCAAAGGCUCUUUCUGGUUUUUUCCGCUUAGCCUCAAACAUUCCUGCCAUACUGGGACUCUCGUCGAAGGGGUUGCCAAUUUUCAAUUGAGCCUUUCCUAUUAUAACAUAAUAAAGUCCAUAAUAGAAUGACACCAUCUGGAAUUUGUCCCCACCGAGCGAGAGAUCCAUGGAGACCUUGUCCAAAAACCGGUACGCACUAGUGGUUGCUUAGACCACAGCUGGAGUUUUAUCGCCACUGUCUGUCACAGUGUGUAUGAUAUAAUAGUAUAACUAAACAGUCUGAUUCUAAAAGUACUAUGAUAAAACUACACAACAAAUUAGAUGUGUCUCAGCAGCAUAACGUUCUGGUUUGUGAGUAGUCCUCGAAUUAAUGAAAUGGGCUCAGUGGCCCGGUGCCCUGGUUCGUAUUUGGGUUCGUGGUUGAAGUUUCUAUCAAAUCGCAGGGAUAACUAACGAAAUCAUCUUCAUUAAUGUUGUACUGUUUGAAUUCUAGUUCAUCUGCUUCUCGAAAGAGAGUGUCUGCAAUGAAUAGCUCUUUUCCGGACUUAUAUUUAACGGUGAGAGAAUAUUUUUGAAUCGACAUUAUCGGGUACUUGAUACAGUGGCUUUCGACAAGGGGUUUGUGGUCAGUGUUCACAUGCACAAUUAACUCCGAACACAAUGGCAGGCGUUUCUUUCUCGAUUUGUGCGUAGUUGCGUUAAUUGGUAUGCGUAUGCAAUUGGUUGGUCAUAUUGCAAGGUCGAUUUGCUGUUUAAAUGCCACUCGAGGAGCGGGAGGUGAAUAAACUUGGUGCGGUAUGUAGUCGAAUCGAUUUUCUUGUUUGAUCCCUUCGUUCACUACAACGUGGCGCAUCUACAAGAACUUCUACUCUGGAAUAUGUCUUGGGCAGAAGAACGCCAAAGGGGAGUCUAGUAUACAUGUACCUGGGUAUUGAGUUUGGCACUUUCUCGGUCGAGCUUAACUUGCCAGAACACUCUUAUAUCAUAGCAUACACGCAGUUCCGUUUGGUUUUAUUACAGUCAUCAUGCUAUUCACUCAUUCUGUGGGCUCCUCUAUGACUCCCAUGCAUUCUAGUUCUUUGUGACUGGGAGGGGGGGUUUGUGAGUCGGGUCGAUCUUGAUUUGAUGCCGGUAAAAAGUCUUUGAGAUUACUUUUCACAAGGUUCAAUUCUGUGAUGGUUUUUAGUCCUAGUACAUUUGAAAGAGCGUACAUAAUUAUAUAGACCAUGCCAAAGAGCCAAAAAUACGUCCUAUGGUUAAAUAUAGUUUUUGCCUGUUUGUACGUCAAAAACAUGAUUGUUCUACUCUCCGUACCGAUGUCACGGAUGACUUCACCCGACAAUCUACAACAUCCCAUCACCCCGCCGUUUGUGUCAAAACGUCGACGGUCGAUGUUUUAAAAAGGAGCUGAUGUUAUGAGGGUGACGUUUGUGUCAGUUCUAAAAAUCACUAUUACCUUAAAGUAGAAUGAAAUGGAUUUUUUUUUAAGAGUCGACGUUAUAAAAAGGUUGACGUUAAUUUAUUUGUGUUUGUACCUUACCUUUACCAAGGGCGUAUACAGAGAAGAGGGCAUGCAACUCACUAUGUAUCCUACGUACUCAUCCGACUUCGUAUCAGAGACCGGAUAUGCUAAAAAUAGAAUCCAGUAUACGGACGUGAACAAGUGGGCGGUGUUGUUUACGGAGUUAUAAUUAUGGGCGUGUACAUCAGAGCUGCCUAGCUAGCUAGCUAACAGUGCAGUAUUAUUUUAGAGAAGUGUCAUGACCAGUCCUAGUCCAGCCAGGUCCAAGACAACCCCUUCGAGCAUGAAGUUGAGUGCUGGGCGCAUUGUUAAGAAGUACCAGAGACUCAGGAAGACAGAUUAUUGUACCUAGGUUUCAUCUUCUUGGAGUUGCAACUGUUGGAUGGUUUGCCUUUGCCUUUGACACUGCUAGUACAAGCCAUACUGCUGCUGAGAACUAGUUAUGCUGCUGCAAUCGAGCUAGCUAGCUGGCACAGAUAUAAAAAAUACUUUGAUUUACCUUGUGUGGUCAAAGGUUACACGUGGGCGUUUUUGUGGGCAGUUCUAAAAAUAGCUCAAUACGAAGUCGGAUGAUUCUGAGAAUGGGGCGAGUUGCAUGCCCUCUUCUCUGUAUACGCCCUUGCCUUUACUAAUACGUUCAUGUUUGAGUCGGGUUUCUCCAGUUUACCGGUCAAAACAGAGAAUAAUACAUCGUCUUUGUGACUUCGACUCCAUUCAACGAUUUUAACACAAACGAGGGGCCCACCCAGUAGGAGUCACGAACCAACACGCUAUGGAAAACCAUGUGCAAACAAGCAGCGCAAGGUGGAGUCUAGCUACAACGUUUGUGUGUGAGCAGACCCAGAGGAGACGCGUGCCUCGAUUAGGCUAAUUGCCUCUGCGUGGGGAGAUAAUCGAAGCAUAAUUACGCAACGUUAUUGUAGUCGUAGACUACCUGGACGUGCCAGUUAGAUGGGACGAGUCUUAUCUCCUAGGCACUCUGAUCUUGGUUUCUAUCUCUGACUGACGCCUAUUCACUAGCCACUGCCCCGGCUGGAUCUAUGGCAGUUGGUCACAUAUUACGGAGGAAGGUACGUGCACGGAGACCAAAGCGACUAAAUACAGGAGUACUCCAAAGUACUUGACAUGCGUAAAAUACAAUUUAAAACUAUGUACACGCAGCCAUAUAGACAAGUCUACAAGUGCUGGGGUGGCUACAAGUUCUGGCUGAUUGAUUUGAAAUGGAUGUUCGAGUGUCAUGACGAACUUUGGUAUCUAUAUAUACAAUAGAGUUGCCAGUACAUGUAUAUGGACUUUUUAGAGUCAGAUUUUCUGAAAACUUAAGUUAUGUGGCGUAAGUAUCCACUCAAUUUCUUUAAAAUCAGAGGCACGUACAUACCCUUGGCUCUAUUAAUGUUGUACUAUCGUAUUAAAGUAUCUUGAUUUGUUUUAGUUAUAAAUGGUAGGUGGUAUACAACUCGUGCGCAUCUUUGAAAUUUAUGUUAGUUGUAACUUUUUAUUGCAGAAACUCGAUGGUGGAGUCAGUGGAUCCCGUCGGACAUUAAUUAAACCCCCUCAUCGACAGUUCACUGCCCACCCAGCACAGUGGGGACAUAGUGAGGUUUUGAUUCAGCAAGUAACCCCGAGGGUACUCAGAACAUCUGAGGAUCUGCCAAGACCCUUUGGAAAAGUUUGGUAUGCCAAUGACAGAGGGAAGGGACACUGUUAUUCAUUACGAUUGGUCGUGCAAAAGCUGUGUAGUGACCAGAUGACGGAAAUACACCACUACCUAAACGUCGUCAGACUUACAAAAAUUAUGUUUUAUGUUUGUAAACAUCAUCAUUUCUCCAUGCAUCCUUUGUGAUUGUGUGUGCAGUCUAUAAUUAUGGUCAUGAGCUCUAUACUUUUUUUUGUGGGUGCGCAUGUCUUGUUCUUUGAAGGUUUGUUAAGGUCUUUAUAAUAGGAUGUGUAACUCUUCAAUGCAACAGAGAAAACCAAAGAAACUAGUUCAGAUCUAUGUAUGUAGUAGCUAGUAGCUACUGUGGGCCAGAGACAGCUAGCUGUUCACUCUCUUUUAGCCCCAAUUAAAUUUCUAUUUCCGGUGCGACACGCAUGGGCCGUGUGAAAUCCCUGUGUUUCCAAUCCCUUCCCUCUACUAUCUAUGAUGUAAUUACAGCGCCACGUCAGCAUCAGUAUAAUUUUUUAGGUCCUAAAAAAGCGCCAACCGUUGCUGGAAUUAUUUUUUUCUGGCGCUUAUAAAAAGGCUUGUUUUGAGACAUCAAGACAAUCAUCCUGCAUCUUUGACUUC